CCCCCUGCAGAGCUACACAGCUCCCCCUAGCGUUAGUUUUUCAAUUGAGACUAAAGAUUUGUGACACGACCCCCUUUUUUGAGAAAUUUACAAAAUUUCAUAACAAAACGCAAAUCUUUUCCAAUGAGUAUCAAACACCGUCUCUUGAAUGUAUAUCAAGUUUAUAACAAGUCUCUAAUGAACUCUACUGAGGUAGUCGGCACCAACGUUGUCGACUCCUUUGAUAGACUCAAUCUUAAUACCAUAGUUUUGCAAGAACAUCGCCCAUCUCAUAACUCUGUCGUUGAGAAACUUCGCUGUCUUCAAAUAGACCAAAGGCUGAUGGUCGGUUUGCAAUGUAAACUCUGUUCCAUAAAGGAAUAUCAAGAACUUUCGGACGGCCCAAACUACCGCGAGAC